UAUUGGGAGUUGUGAAAACAGCAGCUUAUUGCCGAAAGGCAGUUUGAAACUCUCUGGGAUAACGGUGGAGGCUAAGUCUGUUAAAAGCAGAUAAGCGAAUACCGUGGGAACCGAGUCCUCGCGAAGCGAGAACUCGGGCGCCGUAGAGACUAGAUACCGGAGUACCUAAGCGGGGAGAGGAAUCAAACCGUAAGGUAAAGAUAUAGUCCACGCCAUUAUGAAAAUAGUGG
rnacentral:ncRNA from 1 species